CCUACGGGAGGCUGCAGUGGGGAAUAUUGCACAAUGGGGGGAACCCUGAUGCAGCGACGCCGCGUGGGUGAAGGAGUAUUUCGGUAUGUAAAGCCCUAUCAGCAGGGAAGAACAAUGACGGUACCUGACUAAGAAGCACCGGCUAAAUACGUGCCAGCAGCCGCGGUAAUACGUAUGGUGCAAGCGUUAUCCGGAUUUACGGGGUGUAAAGGGAGCGCAGGCGGCGCGUUAAGCCUGUUGUGAAAGCCCGCGGCUCAACCGCGGAACUGCAUUUGAAACUGUUUUUCUUGAGUACCGGAGAGGUCAUCGGAAUUCCUUGUGUAGCGGUGAAAUGCGUAGAUAUAAGGAAGAACACCAGUGGCGAAGGCGGAUGACUGGACGGCAACUGACGGUGAGGCGCGAAAGCGUGGGGAGCAAACAGGAUUAGAUACCCGAGUAGUC
rnacentral:rRNA from 1 species